GAUUCCCUAGUACGGCGAGUGAAGAGGGAAGAGCCCAAGAUUGAAAGCUGGCGUCUUCGGCGUCCGCAUUGUAAUCUCAAGAAGUGUUUUCCGCUUCGGACCAUGCCUAAGUCCCUUGGAAAAGGGCAUCAUAGAGGGUGAUAAUCCCGUUCAUGGCAUGGAGCGCCCGAAGCUUUGUGAUACGCUUUCUAAGAGUCGAGUUGUUUGGGAAUGCAGCUCAAAAUGGGUGGUAAAUGCCAUCUAAGGCUAAAUAUUGGGGAGAGACCGAUAGCGAACAAGUACAGUGAUGGAAAGAUGAAAAGAACUUUGAAAAGAGAGUUAAACAGUACGUGAAAUUGCCAAAAGGGAAGGGUAGGAGGUCAGAGAUGCGUCUUGGAAUUCAGCCUUGCUUCUGCUUGGUGUUUUUUCCAAGUUGCAGGCCAACGUCGGUUUUGGGCACUGGAGAAGGGUGGAAGGAAUGUGGCACCUCUCGGGGUGUGUUAUAGCCUUCUACUGGAUACAGCGACCGAGACCGAGGACAGCAGCGUACUCGUAAGAGCGGGCCUUCGGGCACCUUUACGCUUAGGGCGUUGGCAUAAUGGCCCUCUACCACCCGUCUUG
rnacentral:rRNA from 1 species